GGUUGUUGAUAUAGUGGAGGAGCAGUUUGUCUCCCCCAUGCGUAGACGGUGUAGAAGCCGAUUUGAUACGGUUGAGUCUAUCCACUAACUAUUGAUACUUAUCAUCCUCUUGGCUAGCUUUUACCAUAGCGGGUUUCUAACAUAUGUGAAUCAUUCAAUUGGCCACUUGUAGGAGUUUAGAGCCAUAUUUUUGACGAUCUCAUAUGCAUUCUCGUAUGUUCUGUUCAUAAG
rnacentral:lncRNA from 1 species